rnacentral:lncRNA from 1 species
UGCAUAUAACUUUCUUUAUUGAAAGUGCGUUUUGUUUUAGAAUGUCACUAAAGAAUUGUCAGAACUGAGAAGCAAUGGACACCAUAAUUAAUAUCAUGCAUUUUCCUUUCUCUUUUGUCUGAAGAACUUUGUUGUUUACAGGAAAAAAGAUGAAAAAGUGAUGGUUAGUUCUUCUUAGUGGAGACUGCAGAAAUACAAGAGAUAGGACCAUAGUCUUCUUUCUACCUAGGAAACAC